rnacentral:rRNA from 1 species
GGAUUAGCGGCGAACGGGUGAGGAACACGUGAAGAAUCUGCCUUCAACUCUGGGAUAACUCCGGGAAACCGGGGCUAAUACCGGAUAUGAGCCUUGAUCGCAUGAUCGGGGCUGGAAAGUUUUUCGGUUGAAGAUGACUUCGCGGCCUAUCAGCUUGUUGGUGAGGUAAUGGCUCACCAAGGCGACGACGGGUAGCCGGCCUGAGAGGGCGACCGGCCACACUGGGACUGAGACACGGCCCAGACUCCUACGGGAGGCAGCAGUGGGGAAUAUUGGGCAAUGGAGGAAACUCUGACCCAGCGACGCCGCGUGCGGGAUGAAGGCCUUCGGGUUGUAAACCGCUUUCAGCAGGGAAUAAGCGCAAGUGAAGGUACCUGCAGAAGAAGCACCGGCUAACUAUGUGCCAGCAGCCGCGGUAAUACAUAGGGUGCAAGCGUUGUCCGGAAUUAUUGGGCGUAAAGAGCUCGUAGGUGGUUUGUUACGUCGGUUGUGAAAUU